UGGGGAAUAUUGGACAAUGGGCGAAAGCCUGAUCCAGCAAUGCCGCGUGAGUGAUGAAGGCCUUAGGGUUGUAAAGCUCUUUUACCCGGGAUGAUAAUGACGGUACCGGGAGAAUAAGCCCCGGCUAACUCCGUGCCAGCAGCCGCGGUAAUACGGAGGGGGCUAGCGUUGUUCGGAAUUACUGGGCGUAAAGCGCGCGUAGGCGGCUUUGUAAGUUAGAGGUGAAAGCCCGGAGCUCAACUCCGGAACUGCCUUUAAGACUGCAUCGCUAGAAUUGUGGAGAGGUAAGUGGAAUUCCGAGUGUAGAGGUGAAAUUCGUAGAUAUUCGGAAGAACACCAGUGGCGAAGGCGACUCUCUGGGCAGUUACCGACGCUGAGGCGCGAAAGCGUGGGGAGCAAA
rnacentral:rRNA from 1 species